ACAUCAAAACAACACCAGAUUUGUUAACUGAAAAGGAGAAGUGAAACUGAAGAAGAAGAAACUGAAAAGUGGUCCCAUACUACCACCAAUAAACUAUUGUCCUCAUUUCACCUAACUCAGAAGAGCAAAGUGGGAACAGUAUGCUUUGGGUCAGAUGAGCACUGAUGAGGAACAGCCACAAUGUCCAUAUGUCCAUAACUGGAGUCAGGAUCAAGCCUAAUAAAGAGAGCCAAGGAUCAUCAUCAGAAAUUUCUCAUGAACCAAUGUUUUAUCAAUUUCCCAUAACCCUUCUUAAUGAAAGUUGA
rnacentral:lncRNA from 1 species